rnacentral:misc_RNA from 1 species
AACGCACAUUGCGCCCUAUGGUAUUCCAUAGGGCAUGCCUGUUUGAGCGUCAUUUCUCUCUCAAAUCUUCGGAUUUGGUUUUGAGUGAUACUCUUAGUCAGACUAAGCGUUUGCUUGAAAUGUAUUGGCAUGAGUGGUACUAGAUAGUGCUGAACUGUUUCAAUGUAUUAGGUUUAUCCAACUCGUUGACCAGUAUAGUAUUUGUUUAUUACACAGGAUCGGCCUUACAACAACAAACAAAGUUUGACCUCAAAUCAGGUAGGACUACCCGCUGAACUUAA